rnacentral:rRNA from 1 species
UAAUGAUGCGAACCGGGGGAACUGAAACAUCUAAGUACCCCGAGGAAAAGAAAUCAACCGAGAUUCCCCCAGUAGCGGCGAGCGAACGGGGAGGAGCCCAGAGCCUGAAUCAGCAUGUGUGUUAGUGGAAGCGUCUGGAAAGGCGCGCGAUACAGGGUGACAGCCCCAUACACAAAAGCGCAUGUGUUGUGAGCUCGAUGAGUAGGGCGGGACACGUGGUAUCCUGUCUGAAUAUGGGGGGACCAUCCUCCAAGGCUAAAUACUCCUGACUGACCGAUAGUGAACCAGUACCGUGAGGGAAAGGCGAAAAGAACCCCGGCGAGGGGAGUGAAAAAGAACCUGAAACCGUGUACGUACAAGCAGUGGGAGCACCCUUUUGGGUGUGACUGCGUACCUUUUGUAUACUGGGUCAGCGACUUAUAUUCUGUAGCAAGGUUAACCGAAUAGGGGAGCCGGAGGGAAACCGAGUCUUAAUUGGGCGUUAAGUUGCAGGGUAUAGACCCGAAACCCGG